ACCGGGCGCUGCGGCGGCGCCCGGAAGACAAGACAGACCGUGCUGCAGGGAAGCUCUGCGCACUUUUGGGUGUU
rnacentral:sRNA from 2 species